rnacentral:rRNA from 1 species
GACGAACGCUGGCGGCGUGCUUAACACAUGCAAGUCGAACGGAAAGGCCCUGCUUUUGUGGGGUGCUCGAGUGGCGAACGGGUGAGUAACACGUGAGUAACCUGCCCUUGACUUUGGGAUAACUUCAGGAAACUGGGGCUAAUACCGGAUAGGAGCUCCUGCUGCAUGGUGGGGGUUGGAAAGUUUCGGCGGUUGGGGAUGGACUCGCGGGUUAUCAGCUUGUUGGUGGGGUAGUGGCUUACCAAGGCUUUGACGGGUAGCCGGCCUGAGAGGGUGACCGGCCACCUUGGGACUGAGAUACGGCCCAGACUCCUACGGGAGGCAGCAGUGGGGAAUAUUGCACAAUGGGCGGAAGCCUGAUGCAGCAACGCCGCGUGCGGGAUGACGGCCUUCGGGUUGUAAACCGCUUUCGCCUGUGACGAAGCGUGAGUGACGGUAAUGGGUAAAGAAGCCCCGGCUAACUACGUG